CGGGGUGCAGCAGGCGCGAAAACUCUACAAUGCAGGCAACUGCGAUAGGGGGACAUCGAGUGGCAUCCACCUUGGGUGCCUGUCCCACCGUCUAAAAAACGGUGGUUAGCAAGGGCCGGGUAAGACCGGUGCCAGCCGCCGCGGUAAUACCGGCGGCUCGAGUGGUGGCCGAUAUUAUUGAGUCUAAAGGGUCCGUAGCCGGCUUCGCAAGUCCCCUGGGAAAUCCAGCGGCUUAACCGUUGGUCGUCCAUGGGAUACUACGUUGCUUGGGACUGGGAGAGGUGGGAGGUACUCGGGGGGUAGGGGUGAAAUCCUGUAAUCCUCCGGGGACCACCGGUGGCGAAGGCGUCCCACCAGAACAGGUCCGACGGUGAGGGACGAAAGCUAGGGGCACGAACCGGAUUAGAUACCCGGGUAGUCCUAGCCGUAAACGAUGCCCGCUAGGUGUCACGACAGUCGUGAAUUAUCGUGGUGCCGUAGGGAAGCCGCGAAGCGGGCCACUUGGGAAGUACGACCGCAAGGUUAAACUUAAAGGAAUUGCGGGGGAGCACAAGGGCGAUUCGCG
rnacentral:rRNA from 1 species